rnacentral:rRNA from 1 species
GACGAACGCUGGCGGCGUGCUUAACACAUGCAAGUCGAACGGAAAGGCCCUGCUUUUGUGGGGUGCUCGAGUGGCGAACGGGUGAGUAACACGUGAGUAACCUGCCCUUGACUUUGGGAUAACUUCAGGAAACUGGGGCUAAUACCGGAUAGGAGCUCCUGCUGCAUGGUGGGGGUUGGAAAGUUUCGGCGGUUGGGGAUGGACUCGCGGCUUAUCAGCUUGUUGGUGGGGUAGUGGCUUACCAAGGCUUUGACGGGUAGCCGGCCUGAGAGGGUGACCGGCCACAUUGGGACUGAGGUACGGCCCAGACUCCUACGGGAGGCAGCAGUGGGGAAUAUUGCACAAUGGGCGGAAGCCUGAUGCAGCAACGCCGCGUGCGGGACGACGGCCUUCGGGUUGUAAACCGCUUUCGCCUGUGACGAAGCGUGAGUGACGGUAAUGGGUAAAGAAGCACCGGCUAACUACGUG